UACAGAGGUCUCAAGCGUUGUUCGGAUUCAUUGGGCGUAAAGGGUGCGUAGGCGGCGAGGUUAGUCAGGUGUGAAAUCUCGGGGCUCAACCCCGAAACUGCACUUGAUACUGCCUUGCUAGAGUACUGGAGAGGAGAUUGGAAUUUACGGUGUAGCAGUGAAAUGCGUAGAUAUCGUAAGGAAGACCAGUGGCGAAGGCGAAUCUCUGGACAGUUACUGACACUGAGGCACGAAGGCCAGGGGAGCAAACGGG
rnacentral:rRNA from 1 species